GGCUUUUUGAUAAUAAUUUAAGGUCUAGCCUGCCCACUGAGGAAUUGAAUGGCCGCGGUAUUUUGACCGUGCUAAGGUAGCAUAAUCAUUAGUUUUUUGAUUGAAAGCUGGAAUGAAGGGUUGGAUGAAAAAAGAUCUGUCUCUAGUUAAUUUUGGUAGAAUUUUAUUUUUAAGUAAAAAAGCUUAAAUUAUUUUAAAAGACGAGAAGACCCUAUAGAGUUUUAUAUAAAUUUUAUUUUUAUAUUUUGGAAUUUUUAUUUAAGAAUAAAUUUUGUAUUUAGUUGGGGUGAUUGAAAAAUUUACAAAACUUUUUUUUAAAUAAGUCCAUUGAUAUAUGAAAUUAUGAUCCAUAAUUGUUGAUUAAAAGAAAAAAUUACCUUAGGGAUAACAGCGUAAUUUUUUUUAAGAGUUCUAAUCGAAAGGAAAGAUUGCGACCUCGAUGUUGGAUUAAAAUUAAUUUUUGGUGUAGAAGCUAGGAAUUUUAGGUCUGUUCGACCUUUAAAAUUUUACA
rnacentral:rRNA from 1 species